ACGGAAGGCAGCAGUGGGGAAUAUUGCACAAUGGGCGAAAGCCUGAUGCAGCGACGCCGCGUGAGUGAAGAAGUAUCUCGGUAUGUAAAGCUCUAUCAGCAGGGAAGAAAAUGACGGUACCUGACUAAGAAGCCCCGGCUAACUACGUGCCAGCAGCCGCGGUAAUACGUAGGGGGCAAGCGUUAUCCGGAUUUACUGGGUGUAAAGGGAGCGUAGACGGUUUGGCAAGUCUGAAGUGAAAUGCGGGGGCUCAACUCCUGAACUGCUUUGGAAACCGUCGAACUAGAGUGCAGGAGAGGUAAGUGGAAUUCCUAGUGUAGCGGUGAAAUGCGUAGAUAUUAGGAGGAACACCAGUGGCGAAGGCGGCUUACUGGACUGUAACUGACGUUGAGGCUCGAAAGCGUGGGGAGCAAACAGGAUUAGAUACCCUGGUA
rnacentral:rRNA from 1 species